rnacentral:misc_RNA from 1 species
GAUGAAGUACGCAGCGAAAUGCGAUACUUGGUGUGAAUUGCAGAAUCCCGUGAACCAUCGAGUCUUUGAACGCAAGUUGCGCCCGAAGCCAUUAGGCCGAGGGCACGCCUGCCUGGGCGUCACACGUCGUUGCCCCCCCCAUCUACUCCUUCGGGAUUGCGGGGGGCGGAUGAUGGCCUCCCGUGCGCCUCGCCGCGCGGUUGGCAUAAAUGCCAAGUCCUCGGCGACGCACGCCACGACAAUCGGUGGUUGCGAAACCUCGGUUGCCCGUCGUGUGCGGUCGUCGCGCAUCGAGGGCUCGAAAAAAUUGCCGAGUUCCGGCUCGGCUUUCAACGCGACCCCAGGUCAGGCGGGGUUACCCGCUGAAUUUAAGCAUAUCAAUAAGCGGAGGA